GCCAAAACGGAAAAUUUACUACCGACGUAUAAACAUUACAUGUCUCCUCGUCUUCCACAGCGGCGCCACGGUGGUCUCAGGCAGUCUCCUGAGCAGUGGUUUCAGCCUGUAGACCACAGUGGCGACUGCAUGGGGGCUACAGUCGCUUUGAACCGCUGCUUACUCACUUAUUUAGAUAUAUGUAGAAAUAACGAAAUGUUGUUAUAAAUACGACGAAUUAUGUGCAAAAGCAGGACAACGUGCCGUGGCACGGGCAGCCGAGGGAGGCUGGCGGGGGGUUAAUGUUGGUGCGCUGCUGCCGGAGGAGCUGGCGGCUCUCUGCACUGCCGUCUCAGCGGAGGCAGCCGGGGAGGAGGACGCAGGGCUCGGUCUCUCCACGCGCGCUCGUUGGGAUGUGGGCUGGCAGUAUCAGGGUUAGUGCUUACCAAGGUGUGAAGACGUGUGGUUAGAGGUGACCUGCCUGCUUCCCAGCAAAGUCUGGGCAGCAAAAUAAGCGCAGUUAAAAAGAAAAAAACUAUCCUGCGGCUGGACCACCUACAAGUGAAAAACCACUGUAUCUCUGACGGAGAAGAGCAAGAAAACCCAGUACAACCCGAAAUGAAGGGAACUGCAGCGGUGAAAGCCAAGCCUUAACGCGCCACAACAAAAACAGACACGGCGGACUGUUUUCAGACGACGCUGAUCUCCUUUAAUCCUCACAAAACAGGCAAACUGACAUUGAGUGAGCCGCUUUCCCUUCCGGAAAGGAAAAGGAGAGUUUAUCACCCUCGUUCAGCAGCUGGCGCUUUUUGAGAGUUUUGGAUGUUUGGAGCUCAGUUUGAGACGUGAAUCCUGCAAGACCUGUGAAACGAGUGACCCCGAUCAUUUACCGCCGCCUGACACUCAUGCAUGAAUAAUGCAUGCAUGCAUAAACCGUGUUGGGCGUGUAAAGGAUUUAAAAUGCCCGACAACAGAAGAUGGGCACCUACCUGCGCGCUGUGCUGUAAGCCAGAGGUCUUUUUUUUUUUAAAAGAAAUUUCAGGCCAAAAAAUUAAGCCGACAACUGGACACUAAAUAAAUCUGCACCUAAUCUUAUCGAGUCUUUCUGCUUUCACGGCUUUGAUUCCUUCAGCAUGUCAUGGUCGCUGCCAAACAGCAGCAGCUUACUGGGCCAGGCAGCCCCAUCGCCCAGCGCACAGAUGGUGUGACCCUCUAUCUGCUUGCUAAGCUCCCAGAUCAUAUCAAUCUCAGAGGAGCGAGCAUCUCCUUUCACAAAGCGCCACAUUAUGGAGUUCAUCCAGUCCACCCCUACAAGGCAGAAAACCAGGCUUGGUGAUACCAGAACAGCAAGGCUGAGCAAAAAGUCAAAGACCAGAAAAGACAAGAACAGAAAUCAUGCUGCAAAUUUCAAACCACAUGUUGCACUUCCUCACCCUCUCUGCAGGGGGUACACUGGCCACAGCUCUCAUGUUUGUAAAACUCCACCAGUCGAGCAAUAGCUCUGAUCACAUCAGUCUGAAGCAGAGACAGAAUUGACUGAGAAUGCAUACAGAGUUCCUGAAAACAAAUGAAAUAAAAUUUGAAAACAAUGCAAACCAAUAAACUCACUGAUUUGUCCAUGACUAUGACUGCAGCAGUACCCAGAGCGGUCUCAGCCCUGACAAGGUCAUCAAAGUCCAUCAUCACAUCAUCACAGACAGAGCGAGGGAUGAUGGGAGUGGACGAGCCACCAGGAAUCACACCCAGCAGGUUAUCCCAGCCACCCCUCACACCACCUGAACCAUGCACAGGCAAGAAACCGCAAGGAAUCAAUGUCCGAUACAUUAUUCAUAGACAAAUUGGAAAAUGUAUUUUCUUUUGUCCAAUAUAUUAUAAACAGUAAUUACAAAGGCUAACACAGUGCCCUGUUUUUGCCCACACACCAUCUAUGUAUAGCCAGUAGUGGUGGAUAUUUCCUUUUUUUUUUUUUUUCAAAAAUUGUUACAUAAAUUUUGCCUACUUGCCGAAAAUGAAUAGCAUAGUGGAUAACACCACCUCCUCAUGUACGGAAUAACUAAUGUUUAACUCUCCAUCAAGACAGGCUUGCACUGCUAUAUCAAACCAUAUGUUGUGCCCAGAGGUUGCACUACUAUAUAAGUAAGUCCAUGGGCAAAACUCCUAAAACAUUGGUUUCUAUGGAAAUGGUCAUCUGCUAAAUAAAAAGAUAUUCACAACA